rnacentral:rRNA from 1 species
CCUACGGGAGGCAGCAGUGGGGAAUAUUGGGCAAUGGGCGCAAGCCUGACCCAGCAACGCCGCGUGAAGGAAGAAGGCCCUCGGGUUGUAAACUUCUUUUAUCAAGGACGAAACAAAUGACGGUACUUGAUGAAUAAGCCACGGCUAACUACGUGCCAGCAGCCGCGGUAAUACGUAGGUGGCAAGCGUUAUCCGGAUUUACUGGGUGUAAAGGGCGUGUAGGCGGGACUGCAAGUCAGAUGUGAAAACCAUGGGCUCAACCCAUGGCCUGCAUUUGAAACUGUAGUUCUUGAGUGUUGGGGAGGCAGGCGGAAUUCCGGGUGUAGCGGUGAAAUGCGUAGAUAUACGGAGGAACACCAGUGGCGAAGGCGGCCGCCUGGCCUGUUACUGACGCUGAGGCACGAAAGCGUGGGGAGCAAAUAGGAUUAGAUACCCGGGUAGUC